rnacentral:rRNA from 1 species
GACGUAGGGACCGAGCGUUGUCCGGAAUCAUUGGGCGUAAAGAGCGUGUAGGCGGCUAUUUAAGUCCUGCGUGAAAUCCUGCGGCUCAACCGCAGACGGUCGUGGGAAACUGGAUGGCUAGAGUGCGGGAGAGGAGAGUGGAAUUCCCGGUGUAGCGGUGAAAUGCGCAGAUAUCGGGAAGAACACCCGUGGCGAAGGCGGCUCUCUGGAACGCAACUGACGCUGAGACGCGAAAGCGUGGGGAGCAAACAGG